ensembl:lncRNA
ACCAACAUCCCUAUUUCUCUUCCUCUUAAUUUAGGGUAAUAUUAGCUUGUGAUACUGGCUGGGGAAGUCAGAGAUCCAAGGGAGAAUGAACAGUUAUCAGCCUUAUGAAGCUGGGAGUCUUCUGGCUCACCCCAGUCCUGCCAAGCAGGCUGUGAAGUUUGUUCUAAUUAUACUGACUUGCUGGUGACAGAAAGAUCCUCUGGGCAUGUCCCCCUCAACAUCUCCAAAGUGUCUUUCAAUGUGGAAAAAUGGAACACGUCCACUUCUCGAUGGGAUGAAGUAAUCAUCUCUGUUACUGGGAAUUCAAAGUCUCUCAACAGCCCCAUCAGAGAGCAGGUCUCUGUGUGUGGGGGAUAUUUCAAUCUGAAAAAUGUGAGCAAAGCAGCUGGGGGAUAUUAUAAGGUGAUACUGGUGCUGUCUGGAAAGUGUGUGGCCUGUAUACAUCUGAGAGUGCUGGAGCCCACCUUAUCCCCACCUCCUAUAGCACAAACCCACAGAGUGAGUGAGGAACCUACCAAUAAGAGUGGAAAGGAGGGAUUGAAGGCUUGGAAAUGGACCAUUCCUGUUGGGCUCUUCGCUAUGGUGCUGAUGAUGUUCUGAUAACAGAGGUUCAUUAUCUUUAGAGCAGGGCAAAAUUAUGGCUACCAAUAAAGAUCUGUGUGUGCCAUGAGCCUGAAGUCUC